GGCUGUAACACAACAAAAUGUGGAAUAAAUCAAGAGCUCUGAAUACUUUCUGAAGGCCAUGAAUAAGAAGAUUGACAUCAUCAAAGGUCUCUAUGUAGCCUGCCGCUUCUCUGAGGCCAGAAACAUUGUCAGUGAGAUGCCCAACUAUGAUGUCAUCAUCCCAGUACUGGUGGAGGGCAUGUGUGCCAUUGAGACCCAUGCUGGCUCAACCCCCCAAAGGUGUAGGAGAGGGGAUGAAGAGGUCCGACGAAGCCACCUUCACCUGCGAGUACAAGUAUGACGGAGAAAGAGCACAGGUGUCUGUUUUCUCACAUGCCCACUUACUGUGUGUGUGUGUGUCAACUGUGUGCCCUAGUUAGAAAACAGACAUGAUGCUGUUGGGCUGUGUUAGCCCCUCCCAGUGGAGGCAUUGGAGAGAGCAGUGUAACUUCUCAUUCUCUAUUUAUCCUUCCUCAAUUUCUCCUAACCUCUCUCCUCACAUUCUCGAAGCACAUUGGAGCAGAAGAUCUGUUUUCCUCCGCUAGAACCUUCUCCAAUGCGUUUUGAGGAGGAGGUCGAGAAGAUUGAGGCCAGGAGUCCGAAAAAUACAAUGGAAAUUCACUUGAGAUUCACCCAGAGAGCAGUGUGACACCUAUUCUUUGUGCCUUUAAACUGCAGUGUGACUCCUGAAAUGGCCAGCAGAUGGAACCCUAAGAUGCUGGCAUCUGGAGCUUCUGUCAUACAGUUGGGCUCUGUCAAUUUGUCUUUCUGUGAUUCCUAGCAUUCUAUCUCCUCAAAUUAUUCUCAACCAUAUUGGAGUAGAAGAGUGGGUGGGUUUUGAGAACGGGGUGAGGAGAGAGGAUGCGAGGAAGAAUCGAUUGAGAAAAAUCCUUGGACAUGGCCUCUCUCUCUACUCUCCAGAUACGAUAGGAAGCUCACUGUUAUUAGUUGAAUGAUAACUAUUGAUUAUUGUAUUUGUGCAGAUCCAUAUUCUGGAGAAUGGGGAAGUGCGUAUUUUCAGUCGCAACCAGGAAGACAAUAUGACCAAAUAUCCCGAUAUCAUCUCUCGUAUUCCCACGGUAAAGAAGGAGUAUGGUGUCCUGUGUGCAUGACUCUGAUGCUGUGUCUUGGGACAGAGAAAAUAAACAGAUCCAGCCUUUCCAGGUGCUCACCACACGGAAGAGAAAGACUAAUGGUGAAGACUCUGGAGAAAGAUGCCACAUGAAAUCGCCAAGCGCCCUCACAAAUGACUCAAGGUACACGCAUAUGCACGCACACGUACACAAACCACACAUGCACGCACACAUAUGCACCAGGGGUUCCUAAACUUUUUUGACCCACGACCCCAUUUUGAUAUGUGAAAAUUCUCGCAUCCCAACCUUGUGGGAAAAUAAAUGUAUGUGAUUUAACAGCCAAAGUUUACUUUUAUUUGGGGCUAUGGUAGUCAAUUGGAAAACAUUCUAACAGUAUUUUUGAUUUGUCUUCUCAACUCCACAUCACAUACUUCUGAUGUGGGGCUAUGAGUCAUUUGCAAAUGAGUCUGAAAAAAUGUAUCUUAUCUCACCACAACUAAUGAGAUGGGUGUGCUUGAUGCAUGUCGCGUUAGCACUUCUCAAAGUCAGCGGGCGUGGUCUACAGUGCGCACCUCACCUCUGGUUUUAAUGCGAACCAGUGUGUGGUUUGAUGUAGUUUACAAUCGAAGUUACUUGCUACAGUAUAUCUCCGAGUUCUGUGCUCAGCUCUUUUGCCGCCAGUUGCUCUCGGGUUAUCAUACAACGCAUUCAUAUGGCAGAGGCAGACACAUUCAUAACUAGAGAGCAGAGACCUGACCUCCGUCCCGUGAUCGAUGGAGCCACAUCUGUGCAAAAGCCAGCCAUUUGAUCCCAUAUGGAAUCUGUUAGCCACGCAGCACACUGAACAUCCCCUGUGCCGUUUCAUGCUCGGUAAUGGUGAGACAGAACAUUGUGUCCUCGUGAAUAGCAUCCCCCGACAUCUAUAGAAAACAAGGCAAUUCAUGGGCAUCUCAGCUCUCACAACUAACGUCCGUUUGGAGUUUGGGUCAUUCAGUCAGUUUCUUCUUCAUUGCUAGCAAUAGCAUGAAUGAUUUGUUUAACAGUGUUGUCUGGCAAAGGUAUUGAUGUGAGUUUCUGUGACUCUGCCUCCCCACACAGUUUACACCGUAUCUAUUGCGGCCGGUAAAUUUGAAGUCUCUGCAAUAGUGUGUGGUUUCAUGGCGUAUCGGGCCUGGGAAUGAUUAAAGUGCAACGGUCAAGUGUGGCCUUUUCACAGGAUCAAGGGCACUCUGGUUGAAUUUGAUUUUCAUCAUAUUCAUAUUCAUUUUUAAGAUGAACCACAUUACAAUGAUUUGAGAUACAAAGAUGAUACUAUAUAUUUUUUGUAUUUUGUUGGGGAGGGGGGUGUGGGGGUUUGGAAAUUCUCCCGCGACCCCAUUUUCAUAUCAGGCGACCCCACAUGGAGUUGGGAACCACUGGUAUACACACACACACACAUUUACACUCUCAUAUCUACUCGCAUGAAAACCUACCAUUCAUCCCUGUCUCUCUGUCUAGCUGAAGGACUAUCUGGAUGGGGGACAGUGGAUCUGUGUGUGAUUGGAGCGUAUCUGGGGAAGGGCAAGAGAAUAGGGACCUACGAAGGAUUCUUGCUCGCCCGCUACGAUGAGGACAAUGAAUAGUUCCACUCAGUCUGCAAGAUCUGUCUGUGUGCGUGUCAGGGGUGUCUUUGUAUGUCUGCGUAUGUCUGCUUAUGUCUGUGUGUGUACCUCCUUGCCUAGGAGGUGACUUUUUGUCUUUCUUUGUCUCGGUUGGUUUGCCUCUCUGAAAUGUGACACAGUGCCUCAGUCCAAAUAGGAUAAAGGUAUUUUGCACAGGGAAUUCUUUCACAAUUCUUUGUUAUUCUGCUCUGCUAAAUGUCUCAUCUGGCUUACAACAGGGGGAUAUAUUUUUCAAGUUAUUUUGUCUUUGCAGAUUGGGACAGGUUUCAAGGAUGAAGAUUUGGCGCAACAGUACAAAUUCUUAAAGGAGCACAUUUUGCCCAAGCCCCACCCCUAUCAUUGUGUGGACC